rnacentral:lncRNA from 1 species
CAGGACUGCAGGCUGGGGCUCCGCUCCCCGGCGGGAGCCCGCGCGUGGUUCCCAGCGAAGUCCCCGCGCGGCUGGGCCCAGCGUGAGUAUUCUCCGCCCGCUGUCCUCCCCCUGGAGGCGGCAGCGCCCGUUUAUUUGAGCUUCUAAUGUGAGGAAAAACACGGAAUGACAAGUGUGGGAAAGAGCAAGCACUAAAUUACUGUCAGAAAAAUAAACGGAGUAGCACAGUGCUGCUCGGUGAUUUACGGGGGCAAUUAGUCACCACCCCACGGCGCUGCUGAGGACAGCACGGCAGCAGACAAGUCAGGCCCAUGAGGAAGAAGAGGCUUUGCACUGCUCUCCAGACAACUUUUCAAACAACAAGAGAGGAUAUUUGAGCACAUUAGGUUUUGUGUCUUCAUUCUGGGUACCUACUCUUCAUAUUAUUCUACCAACUUAAUACAUAAACAUAUUUUUAGCACAAUAUGAACCUGUUCUAUGUGUGUUUAAAAGCCUCCAGCAGCAACUUUUUUCUCUCCCACUGUCCAAAGUUGGGUUUUCCCCAUCCCUUAAAAAACAAAACAAAAAAACCUUUCUUCACUCCAAAUUGUCCCCCUGGUGUGUGGUUUUGGUCUUUCUCAUUACUUCUUGCAUCUUGCUACAUGUUCUGCAUUUGCUCAGAGCCACUGGGUGCUAAGGAAUUUGGUCUGCUGCUCCUCUGGGAAAGUUUGGUAAGCUGGUACAAGGAGGUGAUGAACAAGGCUAAAUGAAAAUCAUACAUAAACUUCCCAAUAUUUGUGAACAUGUUCUUUAACAUACCAUACAUAGUUUCUAUGUAUAUGUAACAUAGCAAAACAAACUUGCUAAGGUAUAAUUAAUUGGUAUGCAUGCCUUCAUAAAUAUUCACCAUCAGAAGAAACCUAGAAUGAAAGGUUGUGAAAGAACCCAGGAAUGAGAAAGACUUUAUUGACUAAAGGCCAUGUCUAUGUAGGGGCAACAAUGAAGCUGUGGGUGAGCAAAUGAAGCUUCAUCAGGAGUUUAGUAUCCUUAUGUAGCAUUACCUAAGAAUGCUACCAUAGUAAAUUUCUGAAGUACUUUACCUGUUACAAAGAACGUUUGUAAUCUCCUUUUCUUAUUUGAUCUUGCCCUGGCUUUAGUCAGGAACACCUGCUCAGUUAGAAAUGUAUUCGGUGGGUAUGUACGCAGUUGGAGAAUGUGCCCCAACACACGCCGCCUUUGGCCUGUAUGUUGGAGUCCUAGAGAGGCAGACAAUGUUGAUGAGCUUGGUACCAGCAUGGUGCGCCAUUCAUCCGGACACAAUUUCUGAUAAAGAGGGUCACAACUGGGAGAAACCUCAGAUUCUACUUGCUUCUCUUCUCCACGUUAUUAGACUUUUUUUCCCCUCUUGAAUUUUAUAAGCACACUCCUUUUAAAACAAUUAAUUAAUAACGAGCACUGGGAUUUGAUGUAGAAUUGCGUAUUUGUAACUGCAAUGGCACUGGUUUUCAACUACCCUGUAACAAGGAAGCAAUUCUAACCAGCAAAAGAGGCAGACGUGUUUCUGUGCAACAUCACAGGCGUGUGAAAUUGUUCAGAUAUUGAGAUAUCAGGAGUGAUAUAAAUUGGAAAUUUAACCAAAAAUAUUUUCCAUCAGUGAACAAAGCCGAUUUUAAAGUGCCUCUUGCAUUUUUCAGAUCUUUCUCUUUCUUUUUCCCAAAGUCACAUUGUAGUUUCUGAUAAAGGAACACACUGGGAAAACUAAGCACAUAUUUAA